rnacentral:rRNA from 1 species
UCCAGACUCCUACGGGAGGCAGCAGUGGGGGAUAUUGCACAAUGGGGGGAACCCUGAUGCAGCGACGCCGCGUGGGUAAAGGAGCGUUUCGGCGCGUAAAGCCCUAUCGGCAGGGAAGAAGGAGGACGGUACCUGACUAAGAAGCCCCGGCUAACUACGUGCCAGCAGCCGCGGUAAUACGUAGGGGGCAAGCGUUAUCCGGAUUUACUGGGUGUAAAGGGGGCGCAGACGGCAGCGCAAGCCAGGAGUGAAAGCCCGGGGCCCAACCCCGGGACUGCUCUGGAAACUGUGCAGCUAGAGUGCAGGAGAGGCAGGCGGAAUUCCUAGUGUAGCGGUGAAAUGCGUAGAUAUUAGGAGGAACACCGGUGGCGAAGGCGGCCUGCUGGACUGUAACUGACGUUGAGGCUCGAAAGCGUGGGGAGCAAACAGGAUUAGAUACCCUAGUA